rnacentral:rRNA from 1 species
GAUGAACGCUAGCGGUAUGCUUAACACAUGCAAGUCGUACGGGGAAGAAAUUCUUAGUGGCGAACGGGUGAGUAACGCGUGAGAAUCUGCCUUUAGGAAGAGGAUAACAUUUAGAAGUAUUUGCUAAAACUCUAUAUGCCAUUUUGGUGAAAAAAUUUAUUUGCCUAAAGAGGAGCUCGCGUCUGAUUAGCUAGUUGGUGGGGUAAAGGCCUACCAAGGCGACGAUCAGUAGCUGGUCUGAGAGGACGACCAGCCACACUGGAACUGAGACACGGUCCAGACUCCUACGGGAGGCAGCAGUGAGGAAUUUUCUGCAAUGGGCGAAAGCCUGACAGAGCAAUACCGCGUGAGGGAUGAAGGCCUACGGGUUGUAAACCUCUUUUCUCAAGGAGGAAGAUCUGACGUUACUUGAGGAAUAAGCAUCGGCUAACCCUGUGCCAGCAGCCGCGGUAAUACAGGGGAUGCAAGUGUUAUCCGGAAUUAUUGGGCGUAAAGCGUCCGCAGGUUGAUAAUUAAGUCUUUUGUUAAACCUUCGGGCUCAACCCGAAAUCUGCAAAAGAAACUAUUUAUCUCGAGUAUGGUAGAGGUAAGGGGAAUUUCCAGUGGAGCGGUGAAAUGCGUAGAUAUUGGAAAGAACACCAACAGCGAAGGCACCUUACUGGGCCAGUACUGACACUCAGAGACGAAAGCUAGGGGAGCAAACGGGAUUAGAUACCCCGGUAGUCCUAGCUGUAAACGAUGGAUACUAGAUGUUGUGUGCUUUUUAAGUAGACAGUGUCGUAGCUAACGCGUUAAGUAUCCCGCCUGGGAAGUAUGCUCGCAAGAGUGAAACUCAAAGGAAUUGACGGGGGCCCGCACAAGCGGUGGAGCAUGUGGUUUAAUUCGAUGCA